rnacentral:rRNA from 1 species
UGGGGAAUAUUGCACAAUGGGCGAAAGCCUGAUGCAGCGACGCCGCGUGAGGGAUGAAGGCCUUCGGGUUGUAAACCUCUUUCAGCAGGGAAGAAGCUUUCGGGUGACGGUACCUGCAGAAGAAGCACCGGCUAACUACGUGCCAGCAGCCGCGGUAAUACGUAGGGUGCGAGCGUUGUCCGGAAUUAUUGGGCGUAAAGAGCUUGUAGGCGGUUUGUCGCGUCUGCUGUGAAAAUCUGGGGCUUAACUCCGGACGUGCAGUGGGUACGGGCAGGCUAGAGUGUGGUAGGGGAGACUGGAAUUCCUGGUGUAGCGGUGAAAUGCGCAGAUAUCAGGAGGAACACCGAUGGCGAAGGCAGGUCUCUGGGCCAUAACUGACGCUGAGAAGCGAAAGCAUGGGUAGCGAACAGG